GCGCCGGCAGGGACUCGGCUCUCGCCUCUCUCGCUUCUCUCGGCUGGCGCUGGCAGCCCCGCCGGGUUCAUGCGAGGACAGCGGCGGCUCCGAGCCGCGGCUCGUCUGGCUGCCAACGCCGCGGCGAGGCUGAUGCUGCCGCCACGGCCGAGGGGUGACUCAGGGCGGCCCGCGGCAGCCGCUGAUUAGCGGAUCAGAGAGCCGGGCACGUCGCGGCCGCUCCCCGCCGCCUUCCCCCGGUCACAUCAUCCUGCCCCCACACCUCCCUGUCCCCCACCGCGGCCCUUCCGAGCCGGGGGAGAGCCCCGCCGGCACCCCGGGGGUCCGGCCGGCGGCCGGCAGCGCUCCCGGAGGCACCCGCCUCAACACAGAAAAUCCUUCCUGCAGUGUGGGCCAGGUUAUAUCGGAUGUCUCAUACAGGGCAGUAUCUUAUUCCAUGCAUGACUUACUCAUGUUGCAAAAGCCGGCCCUUGUGAUUAUAUAACAGCUCUCAAGAGGAAGCUGCUAACAAGACCAUCUGACAUUUUUUUGCCAGCUGUUUUAGUGGAGGCAUGUUGGAUUAGACUGAGCUCCACCUUCUUUGAUGAGCAAAGCAUUUGGAAAAUGACAGAGCCUGAAGAAAAAGGAAAUUCAAAAUCUGGCUCCCCAUUUUGUCCUGAGCAGGUCUGCUCUUCUACAUGUGUGGACAAGUAGGCAAGAGUGGUCUACAAGCUCCUUCUCAGCAAGCCCGGCUGUUAGGAGUCAUGACUUCGCAUGAUGCAGUGACUCCUGUUAAGUUCCUACAUGAGAUGGUUGAAGAAGAACCUGGUGCACGUCAUGAUCAAAUGUUUUGAUGAAGUAUUUUGCUCCACCAGCCAGAUGAAGGAACAGAUUCCCUGAUUAAGGUCAGUGUGCCAUAGUUCAGUGAGAAGCACAGUGUCUUCAGAUGGUGCUGAACAAGGAUAUUGGUGAUUUUCUGUCUCACAGCUUUUCUCCAUGAUGUGCUGUUAAAAGCAUAUAUCCAGAUAUCCAGGAAAAAAAAGAAAAGUGGAAAAAAAGAAGCAGCUGACCAAUAACUUACCUAGAAAGCAUCCAGCCUGGAUCUCAGCUACGAACUUUGCUUGGGACACCACACAAUCUGCUGACAUUUUGGAACUCCAGGAGAAAAACAGAACAUUUCCAACAGCAAAGGUCUCCUGAAGUUGUUAAAAGAAGACUAGAACAGUGGUUCUUCUUGCACUUUCCUUUCUUAAGUCAUUUUUCUUAAAAACUGAUUCCCUCCAACUGAAACACUGAAGGCAAACUUCCAUGGCCAGAGAAAUCACUUGUCAGAGAGACAAGACCAAUUACUUGCUAAAACAAAAACAGAUGCAAUGCUGGUUGAACCUUGGCCUUGGCUCUUCUCCUCCUGCAGCUUUGUGUUGCAUCAUUGGAAAAUUGGCUGUCUGAGAGUUAUCCCAGGGGUAGAGACUACUGCUGUCUUCCUGGGUGUUGUGGGGAGAGCUCUACUACUCUGGUAGAAAUCAAGAAAACCUACAUUAUAGAAGAAUGGUUUCUUAAUGGAAUUAUCUUACAAAAUGUUGUCUCCUUCAGUGAGAAUCUACACACUAUCCAUAGCAAUACGGAAACAUGAGCUGUAAGAGAAAUUCUGAUGGAGAGACAAGAGAUAGCAAGAGAGGACUGCAGAUGAAAAGAAAAAAAUAUUAAUUGAACUAAAUUCCAAAGCCACAAAAUGAUUGACUUUCACUGGCAUAAGCUUUGCAAGCUCCAAAACAAUACUUUAAAGUGUUUAAUUUUUUCACAUCAAUUUUAAUUAAGCUCUCAUUAGGCUCUUGUGCCCCUAGAAUUUGGCGGACAAAAGAAGCUGGCUUGCCCAGCGAGUUUCCCAAGCUUGCACAGCUCUAUUCCUAAGGAGAUUUAUCACAUUUUUUUCUUCCCCUUGAAAGAACCUUACAUGAACCAAUUCAAAUGAAAAACACAUGGACUAAAAAAGACUUCAUCAUGCCAGAUACCUUUUUAUAUCCAAAGCAGUGAACUUGUAGUCAGUUUGUCCUUUCAUGUGUUGUUUUUUCUGGCUUUGGGACCUAAGAAUGAUUUUUUACUACGUGCAGUAGUAAAACAACAUAUUAUGCAAUUCUAUUUUUCAGGGAGAACACUAUGUAAUUCAUAGGCUUUGCAAUGCCACAUUUGCUGUUCAACAAAUACAUAAAGUGACUUCUCUUCCCCUUGUGGGCAGACAUCAAGAAAUUUAUGUUCAGCAAAUGGUAUUCCAGCUUACCUAACUUUUUUUUUUUUUUUAACUAUUUCAAAAGUGACUGCAGAGUGUAACAAUAGACAGCUUGCUAACUGUUGUUUUCUCUCUGUUGUUCAAGAACUUCUCACACAGAAUUGAUAAUAUCUUUUAUCCUUAGGCUACCAGUCAAAGAAUACAGGUGAAAACACAACAUACCAUGACCAGAUUGCAGCCCUGAUAAGAGAGAAAGGUCCUUCUAUAAAAUGCACACGAUGGACUCGUAGCUCUGUUAAAGUAACCUGUAGAAAUGUACUCACUGGGAUGGUUUUGAAGAUGAUGCUAUCUUCCAAAGAAAGCUUUCAUAACUCUUUUGGGUUUCUUAUAGCCAAUCUACAAAAGAAAGGUUGGUUCAAUUACAAAGAACACUUUUUAAAUCAAUGCCUUCAACUUGUAGCUUCAAAUGAACAGUCAUAAUUCCAAAAGACUAGCUCUCUAAUCCUCCUGUGGAUUUAUUUGGUGCCUAGCAUCUCUUAUGUAUGCAAGGGUCACUAAAUAGUUAGAUGUCUGUUUGCAUGAUAGAUACAGCCAGGAAAGGCAGAGAGGUAGCUACACAGGUAAUAUAGCACGCUGGAUGGUAAAGCAUGCAAAGAAGAGAUCAGACAUGAUGAACUGCCCUCCUUAGCUGCUAGGCUGGCACUCUGGGCACAGCUGACCUGGGCUGCUGAAAAGGCAGUGAUUUGGCCUUACACUAAGUACACCAGAAUGUCUGACUCUUGGGUCAUAUACAUACCAAGAGGACCUACAGUAAGUCUGCCAGUGUGAAAUGGUGGGAGCUGAGGAGCCCAUUCUUACAUCCUGGUACUACAUGUACUCUAUCAUAUGCAUAGUUCAUCUUAGUUCACAACUGUACCCAGUCAAGGCCACACAUCUAUUUGACUGUGCUGGAUAUUACAGGAGAUAUCCACAAUGAUGCAGGUUAGUAGCAACUCCAUGUUACUGCAAAAUAUAUUUGGAAUCUUUACGUUAUAAUGCUGGAAAGGCUAUGCAUUCAUCCCUCAUGCUUUCAUGUGAGCUUAAUGUUUGUCUCACCCCAGAGGUGCUGGUGGAAUAAAUACACUCUAGACUGAAUCUGCUGGAUCUUAUAGCAAUUUGUACCUUAUGGGCAGACACACCACAGAGCUACUGAGCAAGGGUAUGGCUGUGUUCAGGCCCCAAGUAGGAGGCCUGAAUGCUAAGCACAUUCAGCAUGUGGCACAGAGGUGAAUCCCCAUCCUGUCCUGUGCCUGCUUCUUUACUUCAAGUAAUGCUCUUACAAAAAAUUAAAGGAUAAAGCAUAAGAGGAGAUACGGCAUGAGAUGAAAAAAUGCAUUUAAUUUUGCAUUUUCCUUAGUCCUUCUUGUUACUGAGAAGGACAAAUCUAGCUGGCCAUGGUGUCAGCAAGAACAGGGAUAUGAUGGGAUUGAGUAGUCUUCCCAGAGGACAUAGUAGUCUUUCACCUGUUAUACAGUCCCCUAAAGAUGUAAUCAUGUUCUUUCAGCUCUUAUUCCCCUUAAUCCCUCCAAUUCAGAUGGGGCCUGUAAUUUCUCUUGCAAGAAGACCUUCCUUUAUGAGGGCUCUCUCACACCUGUUCUGCUCUAGGGCUAUUGCAUUUAGGCUCAAGUUUCCAGCUGGAGCUUUUUAGUGUUUCCUAUGAGUACCCAGUCCACAGACAAAGGUGACUUAAAUACCAGUGGCAUUUACAAAUAAAUGGGGGAAGCAUACUGAGGAUAUUAUUGAAGUGAAUGAUAUAAGGUGUUAUAAGAGAAAGCCAGUUUAAAAGUAUUCUAUGUCAUGUAUACACAGGAUAGAAAGUCUCCUGACAUUAUACGAGAUUUCACCAGGUUGCUGCAUUUUAAGCUAUUUGACAAAUGCAAAUGUUUUAGACAUUAUCACUCACCCUUUUUACCACAAGCAUCACCAGCUACAUUUUUGAUCAGAGAGGAAACUGAGCUCAGAAAGCUUUCAGUGUUCAGCCAUGAAAGGAUAAGCAGGUUAGAAAAUGGACAAAAAGACGCAGAGAAACUGGUACAUCUUUACCAUCUUUACCAUCCUUUCAGUGCUGUUUUACUUCCUCCUAGCUCUAAGAGCUGAUAGUCAUAUAUUCUUCCUUUAUAUCUUUACAUUACAUCUUCUUCACUGUGAUGCAUGUCAAUGACUUUGGGAGUACAGGCAAGCUUGGAGGAUCUUUUGAAGUAAGUAAUUUAUUCAGUGACACUUCCAUAUUUUUGUGUUGUAAAGAUCACCAUAGUCUUUCAGAUUAUUUGGGAAAUUAAUCUGAGUAACAAACCAAAUAACUUGUUCUUGACCUCUACAUCUUCUGUACACUAUUUGUUUUGAACUCUGAUAAUUUGUAACCUGUCCAUUUUUUUUUUUGCCUAGACACGUUAUAGUUUCUUUUCCUGACUACCUGAGCACAGUUUCUUUGAUCAGUCUGCUGCUGUGAAAUCUUCAUGUUAAUUUCAAAUUCACUUUCUGGAAAUAUUUUGCAAUAUUUAAUUAAAAUUUACAGUGAAUAUCCCUUUUUGCAAGACAGAUUACAAGAAUACUUACUGGGUGAGACUGCAUGGAAACAGUCGGAAUAAUUUCAUUUGACAAGCCAGAAAGAUUUUCAUAGAAAGUUCAAAGUUUCUUGCCUAUCUCUACUUCAUCACAAUGUAUGUACUAUGUUACUGUUAGGUGCUCAAUAACUGAAUUAACUUUCUAAGUAUAUAGAACACUACAUUGUGGGUUAAACACAUUUUUUGUCAUUCUUUUUGUUGUUUUCUGGAACUUGAACAAAGAAAAUAUUCUAAUUUCAUCCUAAAGUAAUUGAAAGGGUUAGACUGUCCCUUUCCAUAACCUUUUGUUUGAGGCACAGUGGAAAAAUAAUUGAGAUGGGAAAAGUUCAUUAGAGAUACUAUAUAACUUAGACAGUUGAGGAUUUCUCCCUUCAGAGUCUACUUCAUAUUUGCUGGGGAAUUCACUGCCAUCUUACAGUAUUUCUUACUAUAAAUUUGAAAACUGUUCUAAGACAGAUAAUGGCUGCCACAUACAAUACCCGGGAAGAGAAUGGAACUAGCAGAAUUGGGAAAUGUUAAUUGUUGAGACACAGGGGUUGCUCCUCAGCAGACCUACCAUUUGUCCGUAAAAGCCCAUGGGUUGGGAUAGGCAUGAUGCCAGUCUCCCAAUGUCAGGGAAAACCUGCUAUUCUGCCCUUAAUACAGCAUGAAGACUUCAUUUGAAGAUGAUCCCUACAUCUCUAGGAAGCUGGAAGAAAUGGAGACAAGGGCAAGAAAUGGCAUUACCAAGACUGCCAGUUUCCCUGAAGGGCAGAUUCACUCUGCACCUCUCAUGGCACCUGAGCUCAGUAGGUUGCCUCAUCAAUGCCCUCAGUCUGAAAUGAGCAGACUGUUUUCAUAGCUGUUGUCCGGUGGCCUCACCAACAGAGAGGCUGGAGUAAUUCCAGACUGGGAUAUUUCAGGCACUGCCAUAUAAAGGGGAUGGUUAAUUUUUUUCUCCCAACAGAUAGAAUAAAAUUUGCAGAUAAAACACAUGGUUUUCAUUUCCCCAAU